GAUGAACGCUGGCGGCGUGCCUAAUACAUGCAAGUCGAGCGAACGGACGAGAAGCUUGCUUCUCUGAUGUUAGCGGCGGACGGGUGAGUAACACGUGGAUAACCUACCUAUAAGACUGGGAUAACUUCGGGAAACCGGAGCUAAUACCGGAUAAUAUUUUGAACCGCAUGGUUCAAAGGUGAAAGACGGUCUUGCUGUCACUUAUAGAUGGAUCCGCGCUGCAUUAGCUAGUUGGUAAGGUAACGGCUUACCAAGGCAACGAUGCAUAGCCGACCUGAGAGGGUGAUCGGCCACACUGGAACUGAGACACGGUCCAGACUCCUACGGGAGGCAGCAGUAGGGAAUCUUCCGCAAUGGGCGAAAGCCUGACGGAGCAACGCCGCGUGAGUGAUGAAGGUCUUCGGAUCGUAAAACUCUGUUAUUAGGGAAGAACAUAUGUGUAAGUAACUGUGCACAUCUUGACGGUACCUAAUCAGAAAGCCACGGCUAACUACGUGCCAGCAGCCGCGGUAAUACGUAGGUGGCAAGCGUUAUCCGGAAUUAUUGGGCGUAAAGCGCGCGUAGGCGGUUUUUUAAGUCUGAUGUGAAAGCCCACGGCUCAACCGUGGAGGGUCAUUGGAAACUGGGAAAACUUGAGUGCAGAAGAGGAAAGUGGAAUUCCAUGUGUAGCGGUGAAAUGCGCAGAGAUAUGGAGGAACACCAGUGGCGAAGGCGACUUUCUGGUCUGUAACUGACGCUGAUGUGCGAAAGCGUGGGGAUCAAACAGGAUUAGAUACCCUGGUAGUCCACGCCGUAAACGAUGAGUGCUAAGUGUUAGGGGGUUUCCGCCCCUUAGUGCUGCAGCUAACGCAUUAAGCACUCCGCCUGGGGAGUACGACCGCAAGGUUGAAACUCAAAGGAAUUGACGGGGACCCGCACAAGCGGUGGAGCAUGUGGUUUAAUUCGAAGCAACGCGAAGAACCUUACCAAAUCUUGACAUCCUUUGACAACUCUAGAGAUAGAGCCUUCCCCUUCGGGGGACAAAGUGACAGGUGGUGCAUGGUUGUCGUCAGCUCGUGUCGUGAGAUGUUGGGUUAAGUCCCGCAACGAGCGCAACCCUUAAGCUUAGUUGCCAUCAUUAAGUUGGGCACUCUAAGUUGACUGCCGGUGACAAACCGGAGGAAGGUGGGGAUGACGUCAAAUCAUCAUGCCCCUUAUGAUUUGGGCUACACACGUGCUACAAUGGACAAUACAAAGGGCAGCGAAACCGCGAGGUCAAGCAAAUCCCAUAAAGUUGUUCUCAGUUCGGAUUGUAGUCUGCAACUCGACUACAUGAAGCUGGAAUCGCUAGUAAUCGUAGAUCGGCAUGCUACGGUGAAUACGUUCCCGGGUCU
rnacentral:rRNA from 1 species